GAAUGAAGUUGUUGUAGACAGGGGACCAAGCUCCUAUUUAUGUAACCUUGAACUUUACAUAGAGGGUAGGAGAGUUACCUCCGUUCAAGGUGACGGUCUUAUCAUCUCCACACCAACUGGCAGCACCGCCUAUGCUGUGGCAGCUGGAGCUUCCAUGAUCCACCCUAGUGUUCCUUGCAUCCUGCUCACUCCUAUUUGUCCCCACUCCUUGUCCUUCAGGCCCAUCGUUGUUCCCGCUGGGGUGGAAAUCAAGGUGAUGUUGAGUCCUGAUGCCAGGGGAACCGCCAUGGUCUCAUUUGAUGGGAGAGACAGGAUGGAAAUACAUCAGGGAGACAGGUAGACUUUCUAGCACAUAAUUUAUAGUUUUAACAUCAUUAACUAAGCAUCACAAGCCAAGAUUGUGAGGGAGUGAGAUGUCACCAAUGGAAAUGGAAGCUUUAAUAAAUACUGCUAUUAUGUGAUCCAUCACUUGAAAUAACUUGUGAAUUUCUGGAAUAUAUAUUUUUAAAACUUUGAAGACAGCUCUUUAGAUUCUAUUAGGUCUACAUAUUUAUGAAUGAAUUUAAAUGUCAAACAUGCAAUUGAAGCAUUGCGAAGUAUAAUUCUCAUUCUACUG
rnacentral:sRNA from 1 species